AAAAAAACAAACCAUGAAUUUCCGUCUCUAACUUUAAUUGUCCGUCUUAUAUAAAAUUUUUUUAUAAUUCGUAUUUUUAUUAUUGUUAGAUGAUAAAACAUGAUUAAUAUUUUAUGCGUGACUUGUCUUUUUAAUUUUUUUCAUAAUUUUUUUAAAUAAGACGGACGGUCAAACGUUGGGCACGGAAAUUAGGGUUUGUCUUUUU
rfam:Oryza sativa (indica cultivar-group) chromosome 7, whole genome shotgun sequence.